rnacentral:tRNA from 1 species
GAGCUGCGUGGCGUAGUGGUUAAGUGCUUGAACUGCCACUCACAAGGUCAGGAGUUCGAGCCCCCUGUGGGUCA